AAUCAGCCUAGCUUGUAUAUCGUCAUUCCCCAGAUAAAUGCGGUUAAUUAAGUAUUUAUUUUGAAUUAUCAAAAAACCGUAUUUAUGUUGAAAUAAUGGGUCAUUUAAUCCGGUAAUAUUUUCCUAGAAGAAAUAGCCUACAUUAGUAGGUACAUAUAUAACUAGUUAUGUGCCACCGAAAAAAAUAAUAAUAAUACAUGGCACACCCUACACGGCUACGCAUGUGUUAGGCUGCUAAAGAAUAGUAAGUAUAAUAUUAGACAAUGGAUCUCGUCUGUCGUAUUUUCGAAAUCACUAGGAAAGAUCCUACAAAACCCUAGUCUUGGUUGGGCUGGACCUUUGGUGGCCUAGUCUCACUAGGAAAGAUCCUUACAAAACCCUAGUCUUGUUCUAUCUCUCUCUAAACGGUGAAAGGUACACCAUGAGGUCUUAGGCCUUAACUGUUGAGAGUUUAGUAUAAUCUUAGAGCGAUGUAGGUUACUAUAUUUUUUUAGUUCUCAUGUCUGCCUUGUUUAAUUUGGACACCUUUGCGGUUUGUUUUUUCAUUUCGUAGUAUUUACUUUGCAUUAAGCUUUUACUUUGUGCCUUGAGCAAUCUUCGGAUUGUUCAUUCAUUGAUCGGGUUUGGUCGUAAUAAGCUUUUUUUUAUUUUUAUUUUUUAUUUUUUAUUUUAAGUAAAGGUCGUAAUAAGCUUUAAGUCUAAAAGAGUUCCAUUUCUUUCAAAAGAAAAAAAAAAAAAUUUCUCUGAUAGUGUUUUUCAUAAAAUUUCACACGGUUAAGUCCUUAAUUUAAGUAGUUAGUAAUACAAUACACGACGUCACGAGUUUAUGGAUAUUUUUAGAUAACUAAGCUAGUUUUAGUGGUUUUUGGAAGUUUCUGAAUUAAAGAAAAUAUUUAAGAAAAUCAGAAUAUUAAAUGGUGCGAUCUGGACCGUUUAGCUUCUUUAGGGCUUCAUCUGAGCCAUUUAGAUUGAAUAUACAGAUUGCUGAAUGUGAUCAGAUGCACCAGAUCACACGCACGAAGGCCCGAACUUCUUAGACCCGGAUAGACGACCGUCGACCCGCAACCACGACCUGUAUUACGACGGCGAGAAAGAAAUAGAACAAAAGUGGAUGGUCGUUCUUCAUCAGGAGGAAUAUAGCCUUAAGCAGUGGCGUAGCCACAUGAGAGUGAGAGGGUUCAAAUGACCCUUCUCACUUUUCAAUUCUAUCCAUCAUUGGUUGAUGCAAUUACCACUUUCAUGCUUAUAUUACAAAUUAGUUUAAAAUUUGACCCUCACACUAAUUAUGUUACAUAUUACUUCUAUACGAUCUAAGAAAAUGUCUCACAAUAUAAGCAAUUGUCGUGGAUAUAAUAUAUAUUUUUAUUCAAACGGGUAAGGCUUUAGGCAAUAGUGCGAUACUAGCUUCUCUAAUGCAAAAAAGAAUGAACAAUUAUGUGCCCCCAAGUACAAGGGAGAAAAAUAAAAGAAGAUUAAAAAAUUUAUUUUUGUUUAGUAUAAUUGAUGUUAAAUUCUGACCCUCCUAGUUUAGUUUUCUGGCUACGCCACUGGCCUUAAGGUUGCAAUAUUAGUAUGAUGUAUGCUAGAAGCCUAGACUGUAUUAUUAUUCAUGCCGAAAGAAACCCAAGCAACUGAGAAUUAAACUUGUAUCGAUCGAACGCUGCAUUCAUUCUAUACAAACCCCCGCCGUUCCCAUUCGCCACGAUGGCAGGCCUCCAACAACCAACCUCUCUCACCCAUCUUCUCCCAUUGUCUCUCUCUUCAAGUACGCCGUCCCCUCCUUCCCUUCCUCUACGACGCUCCUCUCUAAGUCCCGAUCUCCGAUCUGCGUUAUCACCGGUGCCCCCGCCGACGCCGUCGAUUCUAACCGCUAAGCCAUCAAGCACUCCCCACACCUCGAUGUCAUUCAUCCCCUCCCUCGCCUCCUAGCUUCCCAAAACCCUAGCCUCCGAGCUCGCCAGAACCCCACAAUCAUGAUCGCCGCCCUCGUCUGGUUCAGGUGCAACAUGUUGCACUGAAUCCGCUCCGAUUUGUUCAGGUAUUUUUUGUUCGUUCGCUCUGAGGGCAUUUUGAUAAUCUUCGCGCGGGAAAGGGUAAAUUGGUCAUUAUGUCGUAAGCGGACGGGUUUAGGGUUUAUAAAGGAGAGAGGCAAAGAAGAAAGGAGAGAGGCAAAGGAGGCCAAACCGACGUCGCCACUCCCAAAGGUAACAAAGUUGUUUCUUUCUCUUGACCAUAUAUUUAGUAAAUGGGUGUUACGAGCCACCGCUGCUCCGCCGUAUUUGGCGGCGAUGCAUAGCCUUUACGGUCUCUAGAGAUGUUGUGUAAACUUGCCCAGCUUGAGCUUAUUGAUUUUUGGGGUUGAUUGAUGAUGCCCAGAAGAAUUGGAAAGUGAAAUGGCUCUGGAUUAGGGAAUUUAGCAGUAGAGAAGAAAGAAUAUUGGGUUUUACAUGAAUCGUGAUGUCUGCAUAUCUUAUUUACAUGAAUAUGAAACUAGUUUGGGGAGAUGCUUGAGCCGCGACAUGUGAAGUUGUAUGAUUGCGUGCCUCUGAUGUUAUGUUUUUGAUGUCAGAG
rnacentral:lncRNA from 1 species